rnacentral:lncRNA from 1 species
CGUCUCAGAAGAGAUUGCCCUAUUGCUCAUCCUUCUCUUGCCCGUCUCAUGGGAUCAUGGCAACAGGCAAGGAAACAUUUGCUUGCAUUCUUGUUUUUUGUUCUGCAUCAUGCUUACUUGCUGUAGCAUUCCGAAUCUCUUGGACAACGUAUUCGCAUCAGUGAGUUAUCUUUCAUUUUAUUUUUUUCACCGGCUUCAGCUCUAGAAAUUUUUGUAGUGGAGCCAUAUCAAUGCUUGUUGCAUCAAAAGUAGAGGAUUACCACUGCUGAACACUCUGUGUCAAGAUGCUGUUGUGAGGAUCAGAAGCAGCUGGUGCCUAGCGGAUGAUAGUUUUAUCCACUUUAAGCCCUACCAAGGGUUUACCAUAUGGCUAGGCCUAUGCUAUAGCAUACUUUGCAUAAUGGUUAAUCCAACCUUUCCUUCUGCCCCCUGCCCCUUUUUGCAGCAAGAAAUACAUUGCUCCUUUAUCUCUGAAGUAGACCAGCCUAAAUUUCUCCUCCUUCCUUAACUCUUAAACCUCACAUUCUGCUCCUCAUAGGAAGGGAUCCAGGGGUCAUCCAGUCCAACCCCCUGCAAUCCAGGAAUCUCAGCUAUAGCAUCCAUAACAGAUGACCAUCCAAUCUCCGCUUAAAAACCGCCCAAGGAAGGAGAGUCCACAACCUCCCAAGGGAGACUGUUCCACUGCCGAACAGUUCUUACUGUCAGAAAGUUUUUCUGUAUGUUUGGUCAGAAUCUCUUGAAGUCAUUGGUUCGAGUCCUACCCUCCAGAGCAGGAGAAAACAGGCUUGCGCUCCUCUUCCUCCUUGAUUUUUAAAAGGGAGGAUGAUCCCUCCACUUCUCUUUAACAUGAGAGCAGCCUUGCUAGAUCAGUCCAAUGAUCCAUCUGUCACGGCUAAAAAUUGGCCGCUGUUUCUUUAAUGCUAAAAGAACUAAGUCAGCAUGAGUCAGCGGCCUACAAUGACUCAUGCAACCUUUCACCAAAUUGUACCUGUAUAUAUAGAGUGGUCAGUGUUAGUGUUGGGUGUGGGUUGGUUGGAUGGUAGAAAGCUGGUUGUGUUUGGUGUGUAUAAAAACUGUCGGUCGUGGUUGGAGAAGAAGAUUUUUAAAGAAUAAAAGCAGCAAUGUUCUGCAGGAAUAUUCUUUCUCAAAGACUUGUUGUUGUUGUUGUUUAGUCGUUUAGUCGUGUCCGACUCUUCGUGACCCCAUGGACCAGAGCACGCCAGGUCCUCCUGUCUUUCACUGCCUCCUGCAGUUUGGUAAAACUCAUGUUUGUAUCUUCGAGAACACUGUCCAACCAUCUCGUCCUCUGUCGUCCCCUUCUCUUUGUGCCCUCAAUCUUUCCCAACAUCAGGGUCUUUUCCAUGGAGUCUUCUCUUCUCAGGAGGUGGCCAAAGUACUGGAGUCUCAGCUUCAGGAUCUGUCCUUCCAGUGAGCACUCAGGGCUGAUUUCCUUCAGAAUGGAUACGUUUGAUCUUCUUGCAGUCCAUGGGACUCUCAAGAGUCUCCUCCAGCACCAUAAUUCAAAAGCAUCAAUUCUUUGGCGAUCAGCCUUCCUUAUGGUCCAGCUCUCACUUCCACAUAUCACUACUGGGAAAACCAUAGCUUUAACUAUAUGGACCUUUGUUGGCAAGGUGGUGUCUCUGCUUUUUAAGAUGCUGCCUAGGUUUGUCAUUGCUUUUCUCCCAAGAAGCAGGCGUCUUUUAAUUUCGUGACUGCUGUCACCAUCUGCAGUGAUCAUGGAGCCCAAGAAAGUAAAAUCUCUCACUGCCUCCAUUUCUUUUCCUUCUAUUUGCCAGGAGGUGAUGGGCCCAGUGGCCAUGAUCUUCGUUUUUUUGAUGUUGAGCUUCAGACCAUAUUUUGUGCUCUCCUCUUUCACCCUCAUUAAGAGGUUCUUUAAUUCCUCCUCACUUUCUGCCAUCAAGGUUGUGUCAUCUGCAUAUCUGAGGUUGUUGAUAUUUCUUCCGGCAAUCUUAAUUCCAGCUUGGGAUUCAUCCAGACCAGCCUUUCGCAUGAUGAAUUCUGCAUAUAAGUUGUGCCGACUAAGGUCUGAGGACUAGGCAAAUGAGUGAAAAGGAGGUCAGAACCUUUUCUUUUUCAAACACUGUCACCAUCUAGCCUGGCAUCCUGUUCUCACAGUGGCCAACCAGAUGCCCUGGGAAACCCUCAUGCAGGGCCCAGCCAUAAAAGCCCUCUUGCCUCCUGUGCUCUCCAGCAGCUAGUAUUCAGAAGCAUCGUUGCCUCCAACCAUGGAGGCAGGCGUGGCUACCAGGCUUAGUAGCCAUUGAUGAGUUGUGUUGUAUUUCCAGAGAGGCAGGAAUUCACAGGCCAUAUGCACACAAAAUGUGCCACCACACUUAAUGACUGUGUCAGUGCUGGGUAGGAUAUAGUCUUCUUCUUUGGCGAUCACUCGUAGCUGAAUAAGAUUGUCUUCCAUAAACACGUUUUUAAUAGUGAGUCAGUAAGUGACUGUGGAGGCCAAUUCUGGAUCCCCACGCCCUUCCACAGUGGGGACAUUGGUUUCCGAGCGGGAGUUGAUCACGGUGUGGAUUUGCCAAACGUGCCUUCCUCUUAGCACGUUUCUCCCUUGCAUCCUGAGUCUGAGUGUCUUCAAAGCCCAUGACACCUUUGGUAAAGGCUGUUCUCCAACUGGAGUGUUCGCAGGCCAGUGUUUCCCAGUUUUCAGUGUUUAUACUACAUUUUUUUAAAGAUUUGCCUCGAGGCAGUCUUUCAACCUCUUUUGUUGACCACCAGCAUUACGCUUUCCAUUUUUAAGUUUGGAAUAGAGUAUUUGCUUUGGAAGACGAUCAUCAGGCAUCCGCACAACAUGACCAUUCUAACGAAGUUGAUGUUGAUGAAUCAUUGCUUCAACACUCGUGAUCUUUGCUUCUUCCAGUACACUGAUAUUAGUUUGCCUGUCUUCCCAAGUGAUAUGUAAAAAUUUUCAGAGACACUGUUGAUGGAAUCUUUCGAGGAGUUGGAGAUGGCGUUUAUAAGUGGCCCAUGUUUCACAAGCAUACAGUAAGGUUGGUAGUACAAUAGUUUCCCUAUACAGGGCUGCCAUCUUCUAAAGGCUGUAUCUCCUUGGCUCAGGGGUCGCAUAACUCCAUAAAUCUCCAACAUUCCUCCAAUAAAAAUAGGGACAUCCUAAGGGAAAGCGGGAAAGUCCAGGAUCAAAUCAGAAACUGGGAUGGCUUCUAUAAAUCUGGGACUGUCCCCAGAAAAUAGGGACACUUGGAGGAUCUGUGACCUCUACCUCUGCUGAAGCCACAUGGAUGCUGGUGCCAGGAGGUCAGAUAGCCACUGCUGGCCUGAUGACUGCUACUGAUGACACCCCCUCCAAUGCUAUGGACAGAAGCUGACCAGACUAAUUCCAACCAUGGAGAAAGAGCAUAACCAUCAUUGCUAGCAGCCAUUGAGAACCUUGGCCUCCAUGAAUGUGUUCAGUCCUCUUUCAAAGCUAUCCAAGUUGGUCCCAUGGGAGCUUUGCAUACAGAAGGUCACAGGUUCAAUCCAGGUAGUGCUGGGAAAGAUUCCUUAUCUGCAAUCCCGGAGAGCUGCUGCCAGUCAGUGUUGACAUUAUUGAGUUAGAUGGACAAUGAUCUGACAGUAUAAGGCAAUUUCUUGUGCUGGAGUGAAAUGAAGUAAAUUAGAGGUGGAGCCGCUUAAGAUCACAGGUGGCUACUUAGAAAAGGUAAAAGCCUUUAAAUAUCUAGGAUUAAUAUUCACCUAUAAUCUCUCCUGGACCACCCAUCUACAAUCUGCCUUUCUCGCUGCAACCACGACCUCUAACGCCAUUGUCCGAUUUUACCACCAGAAGGGCGGCAAACACCUUCCAGCAGCAAUUCAAAUAUUUAAUGCCAAAGUCGUCCCUAAAUUAUUAUAUGGAUGUGAAGUAUGGACUACAGCAAUAUCAGGUAACCUGGAUCGUCCACUUCAUAUGUUUCUGAGAUCUCUUUCCGGCGUCCCGAGAUGUGUCUCAGGUGCAGCCCUACGACUCGAGUUCGCCCAGCCUUCAAUUGCUAGACGAGCAUGGAGCCGAGCCAUUUCCUACACCCCCACCUAUUAGCAUCGGAUGCUCGAAUUAGAGGUGGCUUUUCCAAUCUGAUCCUAAGAGAUAGUCAUAAUUCCCUUGGAAAACUACAAUUAACCUCAAACUCCGCUCUCUUCUCAAUUUGAAUUGUAAAACUGUUCUUAACUUAGAGUGUAUCAGCCCGGUGGCCCUACCCCUAAUUAAAAAGAAACUACAGCAACUUGACUUCUCCAACACAGCUUCUUGUGCAAGAGGACCGUGUUCAGGCCUAGCCCUAGCUAUUCCACCCCUGAAGGGAUCCCUCUAUACUGCUUCACAAUUUCUUCGGAGACUAAGCGAAGGGCUUUACCUGUGCCCGUCUCAACUGUUUUCCUACAGCAGUUCUGUCGGGUCGUUAUUCCAGAGUUCCCAUCGCAAACAGAACAUGCUCCUGUAAUGACACGGCCCUGGAGACUAUGGAACAUGUAAUGCUCUUCUGUCCCAACUGGACAGAUGAAAGAUCUCGGUUUUUAACUCCCUCGUGAAUAAGUUCCAUCUCCCAAUCCAGCCUUGGAUAGUGUCCCUCUUUUGCAGGAUUCUGAUUGUUGGAUUACUGAGAUGACAGCUAACUUCCUGCUUAGUGUGAUGAAGAGGAAAGCGGCACUAACUUCUUCCUUAACACCACAGAUGCAGUCGAUACGCCGCACAACCGAACGAAGUUCCAAGUAGCCUUAUUGUACAAGGACAAUCGAGUUAGGACUAAUCUGAGGAGCUGAAGGACCCUUCAACGGUCCUCCUCCAGCCUCAGCAGCUUCUGUUUUUUUUUUUUUUUUUUUUCACUUUCUCUAAGUAUUCGCCCAGGACGAUGUCUACCUCUACCUCCCCACCCCCAUUUUAUGUUGUUAUUUCAAUGUAUAUCAUGCUAUGGCCACUCGGCUAAUGC